UAUAUAUAUAUAUAUAUUUCACAUUUUGUUUAUCCAUUCAUCUGGGGAUGGGCACUGACUUGUUUCUACUUUUGGCUUUUAUGAAUAAUCUAAUAUGAACAUAGGCUAAAGGGAGGGGUAAGUGAGGAGUUGUUGUUUAAUGGGUAUAGACUUUUAGCUGCAAGGUGAAAAGGGUUUUGGAAAUGGAUGAUGGUGAAGGCUGCACAACAAUAUGAAUAUACUUAAUACCACUGAACUGUACACUUAAAAAUGGUUAAGGUGGUAAAUUUUAUGCUACGUGUAUUUUACCACAAUUAAAAGUAAAUAAAAAAAGCAAGUAAAUAUUUUUUUAAAAAAAUCAAACAAGAAAGAUACGAAAAAAAAAUAGAGGUGAUAACAAACUAUUUCAUUAGCUAAGAUGUAGAAUAAUAAGGACUCAAACUUUAUCAAAACACAUUGCUAUUCAUCUAUUUUGUCAAUACAUUCUCUGUGGAGAAUCUGUUGAUUUCUAAGUAGUAUACCAUAAACAGUAAUCAUUGGUGUAGUGUGUGUGCGUGCGUGUGUGUGUGUGUGUGUGUGUGUGUGUGUGAUAGGCUGUGUGUGGUGAAGGGAAGACUGACAUUUAAAGUGAAGAUUAUCAUAUAUUUCUCUAGUUAUAUCAUAGAGUUAUGUUUAGGCAUAAAGAUACAACUCACUGCCAUUAGGAAGGAUCUCUAGAAAUGAUGUUUUAUAGACAAACAAAUCACUCUGGUUGACAGAAAUAUUGGAAGCAGCAGGAUUACUAUGUACAAAAUAUAGUAGUGAAGAAUAUUGCACAUUUGGAGAACUAAAUAUGCUACAAUGUGGUUGGAAUAAAGUGUAGAGUCAGUGAAGUAGUGAGUCAUGACAUUGGAAACAGGUGUAUUCCUUAAAAGUAUUAUCAACCAAUAUAUUGCUCUGCACUGUUCUGUCAGAAAUAUAACUCUUGUUUUUUUUUUCUGUUUAAUUAGGUCAUUUAUUUUGUGAUUAAUGGUUUUAAGAAAUGUAAUCAGGUCUAUAUUUUAAAAAGUGUGAAAAAAUAGUACAAAUGAAAGUAUACUAUUGAGAACGUUCAUUUUGUCACUUUGAUGGGAGAUAUUUCUCCAUGGGUCUCUAGUGUUUUUCCAUGUUCUGUGAGCAAAGUCACUGUCUUUCCCCCAGAACUGUCUUUUCAAGGAUAUUUGUAUAGAGAAUAGCCUUAGAAGAGACAGUGUCUUUCCUUUGGAAGUAAGGAAAGGCAUAAUUACUAUCCAUUGUAAAAUAUCUGAGUUUUUAAGUUUAUAGCUCCUCUCCUAUAAUGCAACCCACUCCAUGUACAGAUGUUACUUGUCUCCCUUUGUAUUUCUUUGUGGGAAUUUAGGCUCAGAAUUGGCAUUAGAGAAGGCUGAUACUCUAGACAUGGUGAUAGCUGUGAAUAAUAAAGUCCUUUUUCUCUUACUGAGGAGUCUUACUGCUUCUGUGAGUAUCCAUGAAAGUGUGACCAGUAACUUGAAAGCUUAUAAGGUAAAAUCUUAGACCCUGAAUAGUUACUGACAGUUUUGGCUCUGAGGAUGAGAUGCUGACAGAGAUUUUAUUUCUGGAAAGGGAUGGAGGAGUGUUUAUUAACAGGAUUUGAGGAAAGUCUACAGGACUUGGUAGCAAACCUGUUGACUAUAUUAUAUGGUCAACCAGGCAAUAAAUGGUUCUCAUUUCAAUUGCCUUUUAAUAAGGAGGUAUUGGAAAGGUGGUUGCAGCUGGAUACUAGGGAGUAGGUCUUCUUGACAGUGCAGGAGUUGUUGCAAGCCCUACUCUUCACAAGUUGGGAAGGAGAAUUUCCUUGCCUUUCUGGUUGUCAGUCUAAAGUAUGCCUGGUUGAAACACAUAGAACCAAGAUUUUUCCUGGAUGGACAGAGUUCCACCCCCUUUGAAAAAACAGUUACAGAAUCUUGCACAGUUACUGAAGAUGAAGGUAGAGGAAUUUUUGCCUGAGAUAGACAGACAGGUAAAUCAUUGCAACUCGGGCUGGCUUACUUGGGAAAUGAGAGCCCUGAGAAUAUAAUAAUGGCAGCACUUGGUUGUUUUAUGGUUCAGUCCCUCUUUGCAGUCUACCCAACCUUAUAUAUAUUCGGACAUGACAGUAAAAUGUCUUGGAGUGAUUUUUAGUGGGUUCUAGAGGCUUAUAGGGUGUUUGACUCAGUGAGAUUUCUGAGAGAGACUCCCGUGGUAAACUGUAGAUGAAGUAGUGACUAGUAUUCAGGCUUAUACUGCCAUGGAUCGGAUUUGCAGUGCUAAUGAAGUUGACCCACUGGGAGAAUGAGACACCGACCCAGAUUUUUUUAGAUGAAUUCUGGCUCAGAGUCCUGCUACCCAGGAUAAUUCCCCUAGCCUUUAUGAUGAAACCAGGUGAGAACUUCAGAGAUGUUAUGGCAGUGAGGCAGCAAGUGAUAUGGAUUAAUGUGGACUCCUUAAAAGAUUUGCUGCUGUAAGGGUCAAGCCCAAGUCAGCCAAAGAAGGUGCCAUGUUGGAGGCAUUGUCAAUUUGUGUUCCCCAUUUGGAAAGGGUAAAAAUGGUUAAAAACACUUUCAUUCCUAGGGCACCAUAUGUGGCUCUGGUAUUACAUUAUUUGUGUAGAAGCCAGGAAUUAACUUGCCUCUUGACAUGCAUUAUAGGUAUGGUCAUAAUUGAGCUUAUGGUAUUUAAGGAAAUAUUACCAGUAGAUCAUGUAGCUGUCAGAUGACUGUAGAGAUCUCUCUCCAAAUUUAGGCUGUCUGUGGUUACUGGGGGGUUUUCACAGAGGAAUAAGUGACUCAGUAUUAAUGUGCACUUUUUGUGCAGUUAUCCCUACAAUGGAAACCACCAGUUCAAAACGGUGGUACAAUAUUUCUCCUUGCUUUCAGCUGCAGUGAUCAGUGUUAUGACUUUGGCUCUUGACGGAUUCAGGUUAGCCUCAACUCACUGACCAGGGUAAUUAUUAGGUGAUAGAUUUGCCCUAGACUUUCUCCUUGCCAGCCAAAUGAGUCUGUGCAAUCUUUAAGACUUCCUUGUUUACCUGAGUUAAUGUCUUGGGUCAAAUGGAAAGGUCAAUGCACAAAGCCACUAGGUUUUUUAAAGACAGUUCUUGAAGAGUUGUAGGAUUUGUUCAGCCUUCUGGGUCUGGGACCCAGGGGGUCAUGGUUGAAUUCAGCUCUGCAACACAGCCUCAUGUCAUUACUCAGAGACUUGUUGUUAGUAGCCUUAAUUAAAUGGUGUAUAGGAUGAAUUGGAUGGAUUUUGUCACAGCUCUGCCAGUCAAAUUAAUCAGAGAAGCCAACAGGGUGUUAUAGUGAUGGGAAAUUUCUUCAAAAAUUAAGCUAUUCUAGAAAAGAGUUGGAUAUUGUUAAAAAAAAAAAACGCAACAGUAUUCUCCAUGGAUCUCUCAUACUUUGGUAUCUCUUGCAAGCAGAGGCACUCACUACUUUAUGCCAGAAUAUUUUUCAAGAAUGUUUAAUUUUGGACAGACUUGGAAGAUAUAGUGUCUUAUUCUGAAACAAAUUGCAGGUAUGCUUACUGUCCAUUAUCAAAGAUUUGCAUAUUACCUGUACCCCUCAAGCCGGGCUUGUCUUCUGUAAUACAACCAAGUGCAUUGCACAUAUCACAUGGCUCUCUUUGUGUUGACUUGUGGGAAUUGGUACUUAGGAAAUUAGCACACAUACACAAAAGUUAUUUGUGUCUGACCCAAAGUCUUGUGUCUUCCUAGCAGAUAUAAAACUGUGGUAGGCUAAAGGUUAGCUUGCAGAUAGGGUAAAAUAGAUACUUCAUACACACUUCCUUAUAGACUUGUUAUAUUUGAAGUUAUAAAAUAAUAUUAAUGUGUUAUUGAAGAUAAUUUUCAGAGAGGGGAUAUCCCACUAACAUUUAUCACUAGGUAAUAAAAUCUCACUUUUAGUGAAAUUUAGCUCCAUAAAAUCUUUGCUAUCCAAAAUCUGAACAUGUGCCAAACUAUCAGUCAAUACUGCACAUAGUAUAAUUAGGUGAAAGUGGUAGAUAAAUUAUGUGUAGUAUGGGUAGCAGAAUCCUAAAUCAUUCUAAUGAAAAAUGGAUUGUAUCAGUGAUAUAUAAAUAGAAAAGAGCCAUGGUCUCCAAGGAAAAUACCAGUAGCACAUCAAAAGCUGUCAAUUUGUUGGAAAAAAUAACAUCUGAGAGAUGGAAUUAAACCAAAUAACGAGACAAUACAUAGAAGUAAAUAUUGCCAAAAAUUUAAUAAUAGGACUUACAUUAAGCAUGUUGUGAAUAUCAUGUUCAACAUAGGUGUAGGAAACCUAGUGGAACUCAGUGUAACAUUUUCUUAGAGAUUAAAGUAACUGAGAUGAGUGGUUUUACUGAUUAAACAAAUAUGAUUUGAAAUAGACAAUAAUUAGGGAAAUUAACUGUGAAUGGUGAAUUUCCAUAGAAAAAUAUUUGUAGUUAAAUUUUUAAAAACUGUAAUUUUUAAUGGAAAUAGGGUAAAUAAUAGAAAUAACAUCAUUAUCAUUUUUCUUUGUCACAAUUUUGUGUUUCAUCUCUAAUUUCUCCUUGCCAUUUAGCUGUUUGUUCUUCCCUAUCAAUAUACUUUGCCAUUCAUUCAUUCACUCAUUCCUUCAUUUGGCAAGUAUUUAUUAAAAAUCUAUUAUUCAUUGAGCAUCACUUUUCAGGUAUUUGUGGCAUUACUUAGAAUUUAAUAAUUUUAGAUUUCUGGAAAUUCCUAGAUCUGCUGGCACUGAGCUGACCUCUGCCUAACAAUAGAGAGUGUUUGUGAAUGGGCCAGUUAUUUUUAGGUCUAGCAGAACUAAAGUGCAUACUUGAUAGCAAGAAUUAAGAAGUAAUAUUUACAAAGCAUUGUACAAUUUUCUUUCAGAAUUUUAUCCUAACAACCAAUGUGAGCUAGUUGAGGAGGUCUGAUUGUUUCCAUUUUACAGUCAAAGAACUUAAGUCUUUAAGAGGAAGUGAUCCAAAGCUAGGUUGCAUGGUCAAAAUUCGAAUUUCACAAAAAAAUCGUGUGUCCUCUAUGUUCUUUUGGCAGAUGACAGAAUGGGUUAAAAUAAUUCUAAUUGCAAUAUGGAAUCAAUUUUUAUGUACCUACUGGCAAAGUAUAUUGCCAAUAUGAGAGUCAGUAAUGCCAAUGAUAAAAAGAAAUAGAGACCUGCUAAAAGAUAGAAACACAAGACUAUUUAAAGUCUAUACUAGAGGGACAAUUAGGAAAUUGCAGAAUUUAAAGACAAAAUCAGAAGAAUAAGGAGCAUAUGAAGUAAGAGUAAACACAGAAUGAGAAUUUAUUAGGAUAAACUGGGCUUAUGUGGUGCUAAAAAGUAAAGCAAGAAAACUCCAUUGCUUAAACACAACACAAAUGUAUUUCUUGCCCACACAAAAUCCAGCAUGGAUCUGGCAAGUCAGUAGGGCAUUGCUGCUUUGUGUUGUGACUCAGAAGCUUUCUUUAUUUUGGAUUGUCAUCUUUAUGGAUUUCUGGAUUAUCUGGACAGGGGGAGAUAAUUUUGGAGAUUUAUAUGGGGUGGUUUGAAGGUCAGAACCCGGUCACAUGGCUCUAAAAUAACUCCAGGGCACUCUGGAUUAUGUGGGUUAAUGUCCAUCUAUAAGAAAAGUGAACAAAAUUGUGGGGUUAUGAAACAAAAAGAAUAUUUCCUCAAUGUGAGAUAACCAUGUGAAGCACCCUCUGAAGACUUAGUCACGUCUCUUGGGCACCAAUGACUAAACUGUUUUCCCACAUGAUUAGUGGUCAUGAAGGAGAUAAAAUACUUUGAAUAUAAGGGAGGAGGGACAAUGGUAUAUCAGAGGAGCUGUUUGCUUCAUACGGUGAGGGCGACUGGUGAUAACAGAGUUAAGACGGGGUUAUGGAAACUUUUGAAAUAAACAAAUGGCAAUGUAACUUUCUAUUUUUUUUAAUGUUUGUUUAUUUUUGAGACAGAGAGAGACAGAGCAUGAGCAGGGGAGGGGCAGAAAGAGAGAGGGAGACACAGAAUCCGAAACAGGCUCCAGGCUCUGAGCUGUCAGCACAGAGCUUGAUGCGGGGCUUGAACUCAUGAACCAUGAGAUCAUGACCUGAGCCGAAGUCAGUGCUUAACUGACUGAGCCACCGGGACGCCCCUGGCAAUUUAACUUUCUAUAUUGGUAUGCAUAUGACAUCGUUAAGAAUGAGAGAUAUUCUCAGAAUUAUAUAAAAGCACCAGUAGUUGUGAUAAACAUUCUGUAUGUCUCAGAAAGUGGUUAACUAAAAGGAAGUGGUAUUUCAUAGGGUGAGUGGGUGAAGAAGCUGAAAUGAGAAAAUGAUAAAAAUGGAUUCCUCUCUU